rnacentral:lncRNA from 1 species
GAAUACGUUUCAUGGUAUCACAUCCCAUUUCUAUUCUUCCUCAUAGGGUUGAUUUUGUUAUAACAAAAUAACAUCACUCUUCAUGUACAUAAAUGCACUGCUUAGCUUCCAGAAUAGCGCUUGACACUCAGUAAAUAUUUGUUAACUUAAUGACUGGAUUGUCACAAGAUGCCAUGAAAAGGAAAGGAUAUUUUAAUAGUCUUCUCAAAUAAUAGUGGAUAUUCUUUGGUAUAAUAGCAAUUUUUUUAAAUUGUUGUGGUACUCAGUAAGUGUAUAUAUUUGUGGGAUGCAUAAGAUGUUUUGAUACAGGCAUGGCAUGUAAAAUAAGCACAUCAUGGAAAAUGGGGUACCCACUGCCUCAAGCAUUUAUCUUUUGAGUUACAAACAAUCCACUUACACUCUUUAUUUUUAAAUGUAGAAUUGAGUUAUUACUGACACUAGUCAUCCUGUUGUCCUAUCAAGUAAUAGGUCUUACUCAUUCUUUAACUAUUUUUUGUACCCAUUAAACAUCACCAUCUCCUCACCAGU